rnacentral:rRNA from 1 species
CGCGUAGGUGGUUUGUUAAGUUGGAUGUGAAAGCCCCGGGCUCAACCUGGGAACUGCAUCCAAAACUGGCAAGCUAGAGUACGGUAGAGGGUGGUGGAAUUUCCUGUGUAGCGGUGAAAUGCGUAGAUAUAGGAAGGAACACCAGUGGCGAAGGCGACCACCUGGACUGAUACUGACACUGAGGUGCGAAAGCGUGGGGAGCGAACA